GCUUCGAGUGGCAGAAUAGUGCGGUACUUUUAAGCAGUAUUAAUGGUUUAAAACCCCGAAGUU
rnacentral:tRNA from 1 species